UCCCGUUGAUCCUGCGGGAGGUUGCUGCUAUUAGGAUUCGAUUAAGCCAUGCAAGUCUUCUAGCAAUAGAGGCAGAUCGCUCAGUAACACGUCGAUAAUCUGCCCUUUGGUCUGGAAUAACCUUGGGAAACUGAGGCUAAUGCCGGAUAUGGGAUUAUUUCUGGAACGAAAUUUCCUUUAAAAGUAAUGCCAAAGGAUGAGUCGGCGGCCGAUUAGGUUGUUGGCGGUGUAAAGGACCACCAAGCCCAAGAUCGGUAGGGGUCUUGAAAGAGAUAGCCUCGAGAAGGGCACUGAGACACUGGCCCUAGCCCCACGGGGUGCAGCAGGCGCGAAACCUUUACAAUGCACGCAAGUGUGAUAAGGGAAUCCUAAGUGCUUUGCUUUUGCAAGGCUUUUGCAUAGCUUAAAAACCUAUGCGAAUAAGUGGUGGGCAAGACUGGUGCCAGCCGCCGCGGUAACACCAGCUCCACGAGUGGCAACCGUAUUUAUUGGGUCUAAAGCGUCCGUAGCCGGUUAGAUAAGUCUCUUGUGAAAUCAUUGGGCUCAACUCAAUGGUGUGCUUGAGAUACUGUUUGACUAGGAACUGGGAGGAGUCAGAAGUAUUUCUGGGGGAGCGGUAAAAUGCUAUAAUCCCAGAAGGACUACCUGUGGCGAAAGCGUCUGACUAGAACAGAUUCGACGGUGAGGGACGAAAGCCAGGGGAGCAAUCCGGAUUAGAUACCCGAGUAGUCCUGGCCAUAAACGCUGCGAGCUAGGUGUCACAUAUUCUCCGAGAAUGUGUGGUAUCGUAGUGAAGACGUUAAGCUCGCCACCUGGGGAGUAUGGUCGCAAGACUGAAACUUAAAGGAAUUGGCGGGGGAGCACUACAAGGGGUGCGGCGUGCGGUUUAAUCUAACUCAACGCAGAGAAUUUCACCAGAGGCGACGGCAGAAUGAAGGUCAGUCUGAAGGGCUUACCCAACAAGCCGAGAGGUAGUGCAUGGCCGUCGUCAGCUCGUGCCGUAAGGUGUCCUGUUAAGUCAGGCAACGAGCGAGACCUAUACCUACAAUUGCUAACGACAAGUCAUUGGAUCGAGCACAUUGUGGGGACUGCUCUCGAAAGGGAGAGGAAGGUGUAGGCUACGGUAGGUCUGUAUGCUCCGAAUCCUCUGGGCUACACGCGCGCAACAAUGGUAGUGACAAUAGGAUGCGACUCCGAAAGGAGAAGCCAAUCCCAGAAACACUAUCUUAGUACAGAUUGUGGGCUGUAACUCGCCCACAUGACGCUGGAAUCCCUAGUAAUCGGAAGUCAACAUCUUCCGGUGAAUAUGUCCCUGCUCCUUGCACACACCGCCCGUCAAACCACCCGAGUAGGGUCUAGAUGAGGCCUUAUUUUUAAUAAGUUCGAAUCUGGGCUUUGCGAGGAGGGUUAAGUCGUCACAAGGUA
rnacentral:rRNA from 1 species